rnacentral:rRNA from 1 species
UACGUAGGUGGCAAGCGUUGUUCGGAAUUAUUGGGCGUAAAGGGCGCGUAGGCGGUUUGUUAAGUCAGCUGUGAAAGCCCGGGGCUCAACCCCGGAGAGUCGACUGAUACUGGCAAACUAGAGUACGGAAGAGGUAGCUGGAAUUCCCGGUGUAGCGGUGAAAUGCGUAGAGUAUCGGGAGGAACACCUGAGGCGAAGGCGGGCUACUGGGCCGAUACUGACGCUGAGGAGCGAAAGCGUGGGGA